AGCUCCAAUAGCGUAUAUUUAAGUUGUUGCAGUUAAAAAGCUCGUAGUUGGAUUUCUGCUAACCGCUGUCGGUCUGCCAUCCGGUGUGUACUGGGAGCGUUUGGCAUCUAUUCGAGAUUAGGCGUCCACUUGAUUGUGUGCGCAUGAUUUCGGAGCUGAUACUUUGAGAAAAUUAGAGUGUUCCAAGCAGGCGAGAGCCUUGAAUACUGCAGCAUGGGAUAUCGAGACAGGACUUGGGUCCUAUCUUGUUGGUUCUCGGGAUCUAAGUAAUGAUUAAUAGGGAUAGUUGGGGGCAUUCGUAUUUAACUGUCAGAGGUGAAAUUCUUGGAUUUGUUAAAGACGAACUACUGCGAAAGCAUUUGCCAAGGAUGUUUUCA
rnacentral:rRNA from 1 species